UACGGGGGGAGCAAGCGUUGUCCGGAUUUACUGGGCGUAAAGGGCGCGUAGGCGGCCACCGCAAGUCGACUGUGAAAUCUCCGGGCUUAACUCGGAAAGGUCAGCCGAUACUGCGGGGCUAGAGUGCAGAAGGGGCAACUGGAAUUCUCGGUGUAGCGGUGAAAUGCGUAGAUAUCGAGAGGAACACCUGCGGCGAAGGCGGGUUGCUGGGCUGACACUGACGCUGAUUGUGCGAAAGCUAGGGGAGCGAACGGG
rnacentral:rRNA from 1 species